rnacentral:rRNA from 1 species
GGUGUGACUGCGUACCUUUUGUAUAAUGGGUCAGCGACUUAUAUUCUGUAGCAAGGUUAACCGUAUAGGGGAGCCGCAGGGAAACCGAGUCUUAACUGGGCGUUAAGUUGCAGGGUAUAGACCCGAAACCCGGUGAUCUAGCCAUGGGCAGGUUGAAGGUUGGGUAACACUAACUGGAGGACCGAACCGACUAAUGUUGAAAAAUUAGCGGAUGACUUGUGGCUGGGGGUGAAAGGCCAAUCAAACCGGGAGAUAGCUGGUUCUCCCCGAAAGCUAUUUAGGUAGCGCCUCGUGAACUCAUCUUCGGGGGUAGAGCACUGUUUCGGCUAGGGGGUCAUCCCGACUUACCAACCCGAUGCAAACUACGAAUACCGAAGAAUGUUAUCACGGGAGACACACGGCGGGU